rnacentral:rRNA from 1 species
CUAGAAUCUAGAGAUCACCUCUUCUUCAACUGCAGAUUUACAAAACACUGUUGGAAAUACAUAUGCCCAAAUUGGAUACCGGCAAAUGAGGAUAUCCAAGUACACAUUUCCAGGCUACGCGCUCAUAUCAAUUUACCAUUUGCUAUGGAUAUUAUCAUUCAUGUUUCUUGGGCAAUAUGGAACACAAGAAAUGACUUUAUCUUGAAGAACAUACCCCCAAGCCUCUAUGCCUGCAGGAAAAGAAUGACAAAUGAAAUCCAAUGGCUGGUUCAUACAGCAACGCGCAAAUCCUUCGCCGCUCUGCUACAAUGGGUGAAGGAGUUCAGAUGA